GAUGAACGCUGGCGGCGUGCCUAACACAUGCAAGUCGAACGUGAAGCUUGGUACUUGUAUCAGGCUGAAAGUGGCGAACGGGUGAGUAACACGUUGGUGACCUGCCCCGAGGAGAGGGAUAACUCCUUGAAAGAGGAGCUAAUACCUCAGAUGACUGGACUGUUAGAGGGUCCAGCCUAAAGCUCCGGUGUCUCGGGAGGGGCCUGCGGGCUAUCAGCUAGUUGGUGGGGAAGAGCCUACCAAGGCGAAGACGGCUA
rnacentral:rRNA from 1 species